GUGCCGGUGGCUCAAAGGGGUAGGGCACUGGUUCCAUAUGCCAGAGGGGGUGGGUUCAAACCCAGCCCCGGCCA
rnacentral:tRNA from 1 species